GGUGGCUUUUGCUUUGUGGGCAGAGGUCGGUUUGUCGCACCGACGGGCGAGUAACUUUCUUGUCCGCGACAAGAAAGUAACCA
rnacentral:tRNA from 1 species